UACGUAGGGGGCAAGCGUUGUCCGGAUUUAUUGGGCGUAAAGAGCGUGUAGGCGGUCAGAUAGGUCCGUUGUGAAAACUCGAGGCUCAACCUCGAGACGCCGAUGGAAACCAUCUGACUAGAGUCCGGAAGAGGAGAGUGGAAUUCCUGGUGUAGCGGUGAAAUGCGCAGAUAUCAGGAAGAACACGCGUGGCUAAGGCGGCUCUCUAGUACGGUACUGACGCUGAGACGCGAAAGCGUGGGGAGCGAACAGG
rnacentral:rRNA from 1 species